rnacentral:rRNA from 1 species
GUCUGUUUGGAGAUAUAAAAAGUCUAGCCUGCCCACUGAUAAAUAUUUAAAGGGCCGCGGUAUUUUGACUGUGCAAAGGUAGCAUAAUCGUUAGUUUUUUAAUUGGAAUCUUGUAUGAAUGGUUUGACAAAAAAAAAUCUGUCUCUAUAAUUAUUUAUUGAAUUUAACCUUUAAGUGAAAAGGCUUAAAUAAGUUAAAAAGACGAUAAGACCCUAUAAAACUUAAUAUUAUAUUCUUUAUUUAAUUAAAUUUUAAACUAUAUAAAAAUUUAAUAAUUAAUAUUUAUUUUAUUGGGGCGAUAAUGGUAAAAUUUCUAUUAACUGUUAUUUUUUUCUAGACAAAGAUAAGUGAAUGAAACAAGUAUUUAAAUGAUCCUGUAUUAUAGAUUAAAAGUUUAAGUUACUUUAGGGAUAACAGCGUUAUUUUUUUUGAGAGUUCUUAUCGAGAAAAAAGUUUGCGACCUCGAUGUUGAAUUAAAAUAUCUAUAUAAUUGUAGCAGUUAUAUGAGAAGGUCUGUUCGACCUUUAAAAUUUUACAUGAUUUGAGUUCAGACCGGCGUAAGCCAGGUCGGUUUCUAUCUUUUAAUAUUAAAAAAUUAUUUUAGUACGAAAGGAUUAAAUAAUUAAAAUUAUUUUAAAUAGUUGGAUGAAG